GACGAACGCUGGCGGCGUGCUUAACACAUGCAAGUCGAACGGAAAGGCCCCUUUGGGGGUACUCGAGUGGCGAACGGGUGAGUAACACGUGAGUAACCUGCCCUUGACUUCGGGAUAACUUCAGGAAACUGGGGCUAAUACCGGAUAGGAAUCCUUGCUGCAUGGUGGGGGUUGGAAAGCUUCGGCGGUUUUGGAUGGACUCGCGGCGUAUCAGCUUGUUGGUGGGGUAGUGGCUUACCAAGGCGUUGACGUGUAGCCGGCCUGAGAGGGCGACCGGCCACAUUGGGACUGAGAUACGGCCCAGACUCCUACGGGAGGCAGAAGUGGGGAAUAUUGCACAAUGGGCGGAAGCCUGAUGAAGCAGCGCCGCGUGCGGGAUGACGGCCUUCGGGUUGUAAACCGCUUUCAGCAGGGGCGAAGCUUGUGGUGACGGUACCUGCAGAAGAAGCACCGGCUAACUACGUG
rnacentral:rRNA from 1 species